GAAAAUGUUCUAUCUUUAUUAACUUGACCAUAUCAUUUAACUCAGAUUUUAAUCCUUUAGCAACUAUUAAUUGCCGAUUUACAUCACUAACUAAAUCUAGCCAGGUACCUGGAUCUUCAUAAUUUAUAACUUCGGUAACUUGUAAAUUGGUAGUCACUUCAGUUUUAUCUUCAGUUGAAGUAAAUUCUUCAUAUCGUAAAUUGUUCUUACCAACUGCGUUGGUUGUAAUACUGGUUGUUACUUCAAUUUCAAGUCCAAGCAGUUUUUUUCUUUAUAAUCAGGGUUUAAAUUAUCCUUAGCGUUUAUUUCAAUGUUCACAUCAGAGUUAGCUGCUACAGAUCCAGGCGAAGAAGAUUCAUUAUUACUUUUAUCAGUAGUUAAACUAUUAGCACAUUGCUUACUUGAAAUUUCAAUAUCUUGGUAUUCUUCAGUCUUCAAAUAUUUCAGCAAUAAAUGUUUUUCUUUUAAAUCUUUUUCUACCUUCUCACGAUCCCUUUUCUCCUUUCGUUUCUGAUUUCCAGAUUUAUGAUGAUACAUUUCUGUUUAGCCAAAUUUUCAUUAUUAAAAAUGUAAUUUUAAUAAUUAAAAAGUCACUUAUAAUAUGUAGGAUUAAAUUUUUUGUUGUUGAUCUUUCAAUAGUAUGUAGAGAUAUGUUAAAGAGAAAAGGAGAACACGGGUUGACUGUAAGAAAGGAUACUUUAUUCUCUGACAAAAACAACAGAAUUCAACUACAAUUGAAGAAGGAAGUA
rnacentral:lncRNA from 1 species